UCGGUGGCAAGGUGGGACUCUCCAAGACU
rnacentral:piRNA from 1 species